ACUCCUACGGGAGGCAGCAGUGGGGAAUUUUGGACAAUGGGCGGAAGCCUGAACCAGCCAAGUAGCGUGCAGGAUGACGGCCCUAUGGGUUGUAAACUGCUUUUGAAGGGGAGUAAAGUGAGUGACUUGUCAUUCAUUGCAAGUACCCUUGGAAUAAGGACCGGCUAAUUCCGUGCCAGCAGCCGCGGUAAU
rnacentral:rRNA from 1 species